CCUACGGGAGGCAGCAGUGGGGAAUAUUGGACAAUGGGGGAAACCCUGAUCCAGCGACGCCGCGUGAGUGAAGAAGUAUUUCGGUACGUAAAGCUCUAUCAGCAGGAAAGAAAAUGACGGUACAUGACUAAGAAGCCCCGGCUAACUACGUGCCAGCAGCCGCGGUAAUACGUAGGGGGCAAGCGUUAUCCGGAUUUACUGGGUGUAAAGGGAGCGUAGACGGCAGCGCAAGUCUGGAGUGAAAUGCCGGGGCCCAACCCCGGAACUGCUCUGGAAACUGUGAAGCUGGAGUGCAGGAGAGGUAAGCGGAAUUCCUGGUGUAGCGGUGAAAUGCGUAGAUAUCAGGAGGAACACCGGCGGCGAAGGCGGCUUGCUGGACUGUAACUGACGUUGAGGCUCGAAGGCGUGGGUAGCAAACAGGAUUAGAUACCCGGGUAGUC
rnacentral:rRNA from 1 species